rnacentral:misc_RNA from 1 species
AACUUUCGGCAAUGGAUCUCUUGGCUCUCGCAUCGAUGAAGAACGCAGCGAAAUGCGAUAAGUAAUGUGAAUUGCAGAAUUCAGUGUAUCAUCGAAUCUUUGAACGCACCUUGCGCUCCUUGGUAUUCCGAGGAGCAUGCCUGUUUGAGUGUCAUUAAUAUAUAUCAAACUUCUCUUGUUGAGUUGUUUGGAUGUGGGGGUUUGCUGGCCUCUUAAAGGGGUUCAGCUCUCCUGAAAUGCAUUAGCAGAACAACCUGUUCAUUGGUGUGAUAACUAUCUACGCUAUUGAAUGUGAAGGGAAGUUCAGCUUUCUAACAGUCUUUGGACAAAUUCAUCAUUAAUGUGACCUCAAAUCAGGUAGGACUACCCGCUGAACUUAAGCAUAUCAAUAAGCGGAGGCU